rnacentral:misc_RNA from 1 species
UCCGGUUUGUCACCGGCAGUCUCCUAUGAGUCCCCGACAUUACUCGCAAGGCUGAAACUCAAAGGAAUUGACGGGGGCCCGCACAAGCGGUGGAGCAUGUGGUUCAAUUCGACGCAACGCGAAGAACCUUACCUGGGCUCGAACGGCUCGUGAACGACUGUGGAAACACGGUUUUCCCGCAAGGGACUAGAGUCGAGGUGCUGCAUGGCUGUCGUCAGCUCGUGUCGUGAGAUGUUGGGUUAAGUCCCGCAACGAGCGCAACCCUUGUCCUGUGUUGCCAUGUCGAAAGACGGAACUCGCAGGAGACCGCCAGCGAUAAGCUGGAGGAAGGUGGGGAUGACGUCAGUGCUUGCCU